rnacentral:lncRNA from 1 species
UACAGGCACUGUUUCCCUUUCAGUUUCAUGAUUGUCAUCCCUCUCACCAAGCCAUGACUUUAGAACUAUGUUCACGGGGCAAAAACAUACAUCCAUUUAAGAAUUCUAGAAUCAGAGACUAGGAAGAGUUGAAACAACCUUACAGAUCACUUGAUGCACUUUAUAUAGACCCAGGGGAGAAACAAAAAGACCAACUACUAAAGCUGCUAAAACAAGAUAAAGCAUACUGCAAGGGAAAGGCUGGAGCAGUUCACUGGCUGAAGUUAUAAACUCCAUCAAGAGACACACAAUCAGAUGGCACAACUGUCUUCAGUGGGUCACAGUUUUCCAAAUACAAAGGCGGUGCCUACCGAAGCUCUGGGAUUCUGGAAAAUAUACUGGACUUGGAGUAAGACAAUCUCAGUCCAUGUUCCUAGUUCUAGGAUUUUAGGCAUAACACUUGGCUUUUAGGGCAUUGUAUUUUCUUUAUAGUAACAUGGUAUUAAAAUGAUGCCUAUCAACAGGCUUGUCAGGAUGAGUCAACAGCAUAUUAGAUGGGAAAACACCAUAAAGUACAAAAGGCUUGUUAUCGUCAGUCUCCUUUGGUUGUUAUAUUGGUUAAGAGGACUAAUUGUUGCCUCUCUCCAAGUUCAGAACUAAUUCAAACAUACAUAGAGGAGUCAGAGGUGGAUCAAACAUUAUUUUUAUUACUAGUUAAGUUGGAUUUAAGAACAUGGCUUGACUUAUAGCUUCCUACUGUAUCCUAUAACACACUAUUUUUUCAUAUUCUGCCCUUUCUCCUUGAUUAUACUAUAAGCUUUUGGAGAGAAGAAAUUAUGCUUUAUAUCUCUCUGCAUCCCUAGAGUUUUUCACACAGCCAUAACCCCAGCAGGUGUGCUAUCUGAUAAAGGAGACUGCAUUUGUACCACAGUUUUCUAUGUGAAGCCUUUUUUCUCCACUGGCCUGGGAACUCUUGGAGGGCAGGGUUCAUGUCUUUUCAUUCCCAGUGCUUAGCAUAAUACCUAGCACAUAGUAGAUUCUUUAUAAAAGUGUGUUGAAAGAUCAUGAAAACAGAAGGGUACCAAAUGAUCUGGUGCCACCCAGGGGUUGCAGAGAGGGAUUUAUUUAUUUUUUAUUUUUUUUUUAGGAUUAUUAUGAAUAACAGUGAAUAUAAAUAUGGAUUGAAAAUAGUCCUUUUGGUGAUUUCAAAAUUUUCUGGUUGGCCUCUGAGACAGGUGGCAUCUUAAUGAAAGAGGGGAAGCUCCCCAUCUGGGAAGGCUCAGAAGUGGGGCCUACCCUAUUUCCUUAACACUCAGGACACUAGGAAGCCUUGCAGUUUACUUGUAUCCAAGUGAGGGGAUUUGCCUAUUCUGUUAUCUACUUUGAAAUGUUAGCUCCUAAAACAUGGGCAGGUAGCUUAAAAAGACAUCUGAAAUAAACACUGGAUUGAAGGCAAUGCUAAUAAUGGAAGCACAAGUGAACAACAAGCAAAAGGCAGGCUGACACUUCUAUUAUUCUUGAUAUAAACUUUUCUUCAACCAUGUUAUAAAGUAAAAAAUAACGAUGAACUAAGCAGAGAGGGAUUUAAAGGAGGGCUGUCUUCUAAGGAUCCCAUUCUUGACAGUUUGUUCAUUUGGAAAAUAGCACUACCUGCAAAUUAUUGUGAUUGAAGGUUUUAUUUGAGACAGUUUUCCCCAGGAGAAACUUCAGCUUCUGUUUACUUGUUAGGCACCCUGGCUAUCUGGGCAUCUGAGCCCUGGACAUCUUAAUUAGAGUUGGUCUGCUAAUGUCCAUAGCAGAGAGGAACUGUCACUUGGUAAUUAAGUUAGAGCCAUGACAGAAGCCUGUGACAUCUGAUGUUUCAGAAUAUAACAACCCUUGUUCUUCUCCCAAGGGAUGCACACACCAUGAAACAAUUUCCUUUGGAGUUGCUGGUAGAAUCUGCUAACAUAAUAUCUAAGAUGAGAUGGCAUGCAGAGGUCUCUGUAAGGGGUGAGGACCUCAAAACACUCUUGUGAAGUAUGCUGCUCCUCAGUUCAGGGCCUUGCAGAGGAUCUGAGACAACAAACCUUCCUAUACAGAUAAACUCUCGGUGCCUCAGUGGAGUGAGUGCAUGAGAUGUGGCUUACUCAGCUGUGGCCACCUGGGCAGGGUUGUUGUGGAGUCAGGUCCUCUGCUUUAUGUGAUUGUUUCUGUGUUUUUUAAGCCCUGAGCUGUGCUUCCAGAGAUGUCUGCACCUGUGCACUGCAUUUUGGACUAUAUGCUCUGUGGACGCUGUGAGAAUCCCCUAACUUUGCUUUUUUUUUUUUAGGACAAAUCAGAAUAAAACAAUUCAACUUUCAAGGUAUUAAAAGGAUUCACCAACUCCUAUCUCUUAACACAAUGGCCAAAAAACUGCUGGACUCAAGGCACAGUCAUGUAUUCCUGGCAUAAGGCCUGCCUGGGUGUUCUAACUCAAUGAGCCCCACAUGCCAGACUAUUUCCACAGAGCUGAUAUGGGACAGGAAGGGCUAAGGAACUUCAAAACUAAUAGUUUGGUGCAACUGAUAUGGACCUGUGCAGUCACUGACCACAUGUAGCACUGAGAACUUGAAAUGUUGCAAGUGUGACUGAGGAAGUGAAUUAUUAAAACUUAUUUUUAACUAAAUUUAAAAGGUGAUAGCUAAUUCAGUCACUAGAAACAUUUUAAGUAUGUAAGUCUACUUUUCCAAUCGUAAGUUUUAUGAAAUCUAACCAACUAUUUAUGAAAAAAAUUCAGUGUCUAAAUUGAAGAUGUGCUAUAAAUGCACAUUAUAUAGGAGAUUUAAAAGACCUGGUCUGAAAAAAAAAAAGAAAGCAAAUAUUUCACUAGAUUUUUUUAUUGAUUAUAUGUUGAAAUAAUGUUUUGAAUACAUUGGUUUAAAUACAAAUAUUAUUUAAAUUGCUUUUGCCUAUUUCUUUUCACUUUUUCUACUGUGGCUACUAGAAAAUUUGAAAUUACAUAUGUGCCUUGUGUUCUAUGUCCAUUAGACUGGGCCAACCUAGACCAUAAUUCUCAUUCUCUCUAAUGAAGUCUCAUCCAACAAUAUGGACCACUUGAGAAACCUGCUCAUUGUUCCUCUGUCCAGUUCAUUCCACUUUAAUGCCAUGUUUCUUUGGUCUCCCAUGUGCCAGGCAUUGUUCUAGGCUAAGAAUACACCAUGUGGGCUCUUAACUGACUGUAGGCAAUAAACAAAGAACAACAAAAAAAAUUGUAUAAUUUCAAGUGCUGUGCAGAACUUAAACUAGGGAAAAGUAAUGGAGAGAGACUGGGUGAUGUGUUUAUGCUGAGUGGUGAGGGGAACUGCUGUGGGGAGGUCCUGGGGCUGUAAUCUGAACAGCAGGGAGCCACCCAUGCCAGGCUGGGACAAACAACUGGUCAAAGAACUUCGCAAGGAAUAAGUUGAAGUGCUUGAAGAAGGAAAAGAACAUCAGUGUGACUGGAGUACUGCUGUGCAGAGGGAUGUAGGAGAGGACAUCCUAGCAUGCACACUGCACUGAGAAUCUGGACUCAUGCUUAAGCCUCUUCUCUCACAUCAACUAGGCUUGGAUCCUGGGUAAGUCACUUCUCCACUCAGGAUGGCCUCCAUUUCCUCAUGCACUAAACACAGUGGCAAUUACUAAAGGAUCUUCCUUUCAGGUCUGACGGCAUAGACUUUUGUGACUCUUCUGUAUAUUCUAGGGAAUAAAAGUCCUGUCCUAGAAAAUUAAAGAAAGAGGAAACAAACAGAAACACUCUGACCCUUUAAAGAUUUAGCAACUGCUUAUCUGAUGCUUACCUUUCUCUUCCUCUCCCUCUUCUUUAAAAAAAUGAAAAUUACAUGACAUCUAGCCAACCCACUCUCAUAUAACAUCAAAGGGUAAACUUCUAAAUUCCCUGUUGUACACACAAGAAUGUUUUCCUCCAAAAUCUGGACCACCUUCCUCACAAAUACAAUCAGAUGUCCUGCACAGAGACUGCCCUUCUUUAUAAUUAGACUACAAUUCCUAUGAAAGUCAAUAUUUUCUAGUUUUCAGAACUUUACGUUUUCGAAGUAUUCCUUGAACUUCGGGAAAUUUGGAGGAUUGUCAGGCUGGCAAUGAUUCUGCCAAAAGUUUCUUCUGUGGCAAAACAUUAUCAAGGAGACCACAUCUAUAAAAGCCACAUCUCCAGGGAAAGAAUAAAAUACCUGGUCAUACUCAUUUAUCAUUAUGAUUUAAUAAUGCAAAAGAGAGGCCCAUGGGACUACAUCCAGGGCGAACUUCAAUUACAUCUCUAACCCAGGGGCAUAUGACAAAUGUUUAACAAUCAGCCCUUCACCAGCCAUCUCCAGCCCUUACAUGGAACCUCCAUACUGGUUUUCAGAGAAUGAGACUUAGGACGGGUUCAUAGAGGAGAGGAGGAAGAUGCAGUAAGUUGUAUUUGUAACAUGAUACAUGAGAACCAGGAACAAGGUCCUAGCAAUGGAAGCGAGAUGAGGUUUUACUUUAUAUUCAGAGAGAUGGGAGGAGUAGGGGAGCACAUGAUGAUGAUGGUAAGAAUAACAUCAGCCCAACAUUUAUAGCACUUUUUAAAAUGCUUUGUAUAUAUUAAACCAAUCAAACAU